CAGCAGCUUCUGGAUCACGGCUGCCACCACUGUAUCGCCUGUGAGAGUAUUCCACCACUGAUGGAAUCACUUUGUUUCAGACUUACUCAACAGCCCUUGGACUUCACGUUCACAUUAGAAGGUUUCACAGAGUGAUGAGACCCUUUCGCUGCUUCGUCUGCAGAAAAACAUUUGGUCAUCAGGUGCACUUGGAGUAGCACAUGCAUGUCCACACUCAGAUGAAAAGCCUCACAGAGGACCAAUCUGAUAACACACCCAUAGAAGCUCCACCCGGGCAGUUUCAAACCCUUUGAGUGUCAUUUGCUUCCUACACUUUCGAUUGGCCCAGGCACCCUGAGCUCAGGUGUUUUCUUCCUGUAUAAAAUGUCUUUUUUUUUUUUUUAAACUUAAUUUUUAUUUAUUUUUAGCCACAAAUAAUGACAUUGUUCCAUAGUUACAUUCUUCUCUUGCAGUUGCAAACAUUCCACGUUAGAAAUUGGCGAGGGAAGGCAAGGUAACAAUAGAGUUGUCAAAGAUUAUGGCAAUGAACACAAUACAAUAAUAAAGGUAAAGUGACGAGAGAUAAAAAACAAAGCAGAGCAGGAAGAAACAAAACAACAGUAAAAGAUAAUUUUUUGAAUUCCUCUGGGGUAGGUUGGGUCAUGCAUUCUUGUUCUCAAUGGUAUUUUCCAAAAGUGUACAGUGCAUGCAAGGGGCAGGCCUCUGGGUAUAUUACUGUAUUAGUAGGGGCAUGACAGGGCUCCACCGUGUAUUAAAAUUUGUUUUUUGA